GUGUCCGAAGCCUGUGCUCCUCGCAACGGGAGAGGCCACAACAGUGAGAGGCCCGCGUACCGCAAAAACAAACAAACAAAAACUCUCCUUCGAACUCUUAUUUUACCAACAGCAUGUUUUUAUUAGGUUGUUCCAUUGCAUGAAGUAACUGGGAUGAAUUUCCUUCUGCUCCUGGGGUCAUAUUUCCUUUUAAGUUAGGUUCUAUCUCUUUUCCCUUCCUUUUUAAACUUUUUAUGGAGGUAUGAUUUACAUAUAGGUAAGUGUACCUAUUAUAAUUGCAUAGCUCAGUGAAUUUUCACAAAGCUAACACGCCCAUGCAACCAGUACCCAGGAAGCACAACACCAACAGGCCCCUGGGCCCCCAGCCCUCCCCCAGCCAUGACACCCUGCAGCGUCACCACUGGCCUGGCUUCUGACAACAUGGGCCACUUUUGUCUCGUCCAUUCUGUGUAAAAGUGAGAGCUGUAAUGUGACUGCUUCUCUUGCUCCUGUUGUGUGAGACUCUCCUGGGUUGUGUAUGGCUGUGGAAGGUUUAUGAUAUCCCUGGUGUGAACGUACUGCGAUCUGUUUAUUUACCCAUCAUGCUGGGGUUGGCAUUUCUGUGGUUUCCAGUUUCCAGCUGUUGUGAUUCGUCCUGCUGUGAACAUUCCCACUGUGCGUCUUUAGAGUAUAAAAGAUGCGUUUCUGUCAGAAUAGACCUAAACCUGGGAUGGCCGAGUAUUAUGGUAUGCAUAUGUUUAACUUAAGAAGAUACUCCAAAAUUGUUUUCAGUUUACGCUCUCACUGCAAAGAUCAGGAGUUCUGUUUGCCCACAUCCACAUCAACGUUUGGUUCUUGCUGUUUUGUAUUCUAGCCGUUCUGGAAAGUAUAGUGUAGUUGAAUUUGCAUUUUUCUGAUGACUAAUGAGAUUGAACACCUUUGUCCAUUUUUCAUAGGUUGAAUUUAUUUUACUGGUCAGUAUUUUACUGGUCUGGAAAGUAUAGUGUAGUUGAAUUUGCAUUUUUCUGAUGACUAAUGAGAUUGAACACCUUUGUCCAUUUUUCAUUAGGUUGAGUUUAUUUUACUGGUCAGUAGGAGUGUUUGAAAAAUGUAUUCUGGCUGUGAAUCCCUUGUCAGAAAUACGUAUUGUGAGUAUCUACGCUUGUCUGUGUUGCCUUUCACCCCAUUAAUAGUAUUUCUAAGAACAGAAGCCCUUCAUUUUAACACAGUCCAAGUAAAUGAUGGGUGUUCAUGGCAGGGACUCUGGGUGUGUUGAACAAGUCUCUGCCUGUCCCAGGGUGGGGCUGUCCCCUGAGGCUCCACCGUCUUACCUCUGAUGUUGGUGGCUGCCAUCCCGCUGGGAUGAGGGAUGGCGGGAGGGGUCAAGACACAUUUUUUGCCAAGUAGAUAUGCAGUGGGAGACCCCCUUUCCCAGCAUUGCUCUGUCACCCUUGUCGCGGCCCAAGGACCACACAGCCUCCCACCUGCAUGCUUUCUCCUUUGCAGGUGGGUCUGCCCAGUGCUUGCAGGUGGCGCUGCUGCAUUUCCCUGCGUCUUGCUCACACCCAGGCAGAUCCGCCUGCACGUAUUCUGUGCUCUGACAGAGUCUGGUGAGGCCUGGCUUCUCCAAGCUGGACCUUUUGUUUUCCUCUCAGCCUACUCAUGGAGGGAGGGGCCCUUGGGUUCCUGACCCUGUCCUGUAACCUGAGCUCCGGGAGGAGCAGGAGGGGGAGUGUGGGCUGCGCAGACCCCUUGCCAGGUGGUCCAUUGCCCAGGGAGCUGUCCUCCCCUCCCACGGGUGACGUGCACACUCCUGGUCCUGCCGGGCCCCUGCUGGCCCCAGAGCCUCACUUCUGUCCAGUGGGUUGGUGCCCAGUCCCGCCUCCUCUCCCCUCGAAAGUCCUGCUCCAGGCAGAAGUGGAAAGAAGGCGUCAUGGAUGGACCUAGAGUCUGGCAUACAGAGUGAAGACCAAGAUUGCCUGUCCAUCCACCCGUUUGCGGGGCCUCCAGGGGCUCCUGAACCUGGUCUGACUGCGCCGCUCUGGCUUAAGAUGCCUCCAGCAUUUCAUCAGUCUGCUAAUAUGAACAACUUGUCUUUUUAGGUGGUCUUAUUUUUGCCACAGCAUGCUUUGCCUUUUGGGGACUUCUUAAUGGUAAUCAAUUACAUUUCUGAGAAUUUGG